rnacentral:rRNA from 1 species
AUUGAACGCUGGCGGCAUGCCUUACACAUGCAAGUCGAACGGCAGCACGGGAGCAAUCCUGGUGGCGAGUGGCGAACGGGUGAGUAAAGUAUCGGAACGUGCCCAGUCGUGGGGGAUAACGUAGCGAAAGUUACGCUAAUACCGCAUACGAUCUAUGGAUGAAAGCGGGGGAUCGCAAGACCUCGCGCGAUUGGAGCGGCCGAUAUCAGAUUAGGUAGUUGGUGGGGUAAAGGCUCACCAAGCCGACGAUCUGUAGCUGGUCUGAGAGGACGACCGGCCACACUGGGACUGAGACACGGCCCAGACUCCUACGGGAGGCAGCAGUGGGGAAUUUUGGACAAUGGGCGAAAGCCUGAUCCUGCCAUGCCGCGUGCAGGAUGAAGGCCUUCGGGUUGUAAACUGCUUUUGUACGGAACGAAAAGGUUUGGCCUAAUAAGCUGAGCUCAUGACGGUACCGUAAGAAUAAGCACCGGCUAACUACGUGCCAGCCGCCGCAGUAA